rnacentral:rRNA from 1 species
UACGUAGGUGGCAAGCGUUAUCCGGAUUUACUGGGCGUAAAGGGAGCGUAGGCGGAUAAUUAAGUGGGAUGUGAAAUACCCGGGCUCAACCUGGGUGCUGCAUUCCAAACUGGAUGUCUAGAGUGCAGGAGAGGAGAGUGGAAUUCCUAGUGUAGCGGUGAAAUGCGUAGAGAUUAGGAAGAACACCAGUGGCGAAGGCGACUCUCUGGACUGUAACUGACGCUGAGGCAUGAAAGCGUGGGGAGCAAAC